rnacentral:rRNA from 1 species
UACGUAGGGGGCAAGCGUUGUCCGGAAUUAUUGGGCGUAAAGCGCGCGCAGGCGGUCCUUUAAGUCUGAUGUGAAAGCCCACGGCUCAACCGUGGAGGGUCAUUGGAAACUGGGGGACUUGAGUACAGAAGAGAAGAGUGGAAUUCCACGUGUAGCGGUGAAAUGCGCAGAUAUCAGGAAGAACACCCGUGGCGAAGGCGGCUCUCUGGGACGUGACUGACGCUGAGACGCGAAAGCGUGGGGAGCGAACAGG